rnacentral:rRNA from 1 species
AUUGAACGCUGGCGGCAGGCCUAACACAUGCAAGUCGGACGGUAGCACAGAGAGCUUGCUCUCGGGUGACGAGUGGCGGACGGGUGAGUAAUGUCUGGGGAUCUGCCCGAUAGAGGGGGAUAACCACUGGAAACGGUGGCUAAUACCGCAUAACGUCGCAAGACCAAAGAGGGGGACCUUCGGGCCUCUCACUAUCGGAUGAACCCAGAUGGGAUUAGCUAGUAGGCGGGGUAACGGCCCACCUAGGCGACGAUCCCUGGCUGGUCUGAGAGGAUGACCAGCCACACUGGAACUGAGACACGGUCCAGACUCCUACGGGAGGCAGCAGUGGGAAUAUUGCACAAUGGGCGCAAGCCUGAUGCAGCCAUGCCGCGUGUAUGAAGAAGGCCUUCGGGUUGUAAAGUACUUUCAGCGGGGAGGAAGGCGAUGUGGUUAAUAACCGCGUCGAUUGACGUUACCCGCAGAAGAAGCACCGGCUAACUCCGUGCCAGCCGCCGCCGUAA